ensembl:lncRNA
CUUGACCUUACUCACUCCCUUAGUCAUGGAGUCUCUACUUUUAGGUCUGCUGUGGUGGCGGGAUCCUGGGAGGUGAGCCAUUUAUCCCCCUGUGGUUCAUGACCUUUAACUGGGCUUCCCGCUUUGUUUCCGUCUCCUGUGGGGACCCUCUUGACAGAGUGGGGGUGGGGGACAGGGACAAGCCAGUGAGUCCAUCAGUGUCUAAGGGAGGCUUCCCUGCUUGGUCCAGCACGGUCCCCAUGGCCUACCCCCGGGCUCUCCCACAUCUCCUCCCGAGCCUCCUGAACGUCUCUGUCCCUGACUCACCCGUCCCACAGUGUCAGGUGCUCUCCCAGGACACGGCCCUCCUGCUGGGCCAGUGCUGCCCGUGCUCGGUGUGCAGAGUCAGACCCGGACGGCCUGCAGUGCUCAUGGCCACGGCUCUAGCAUGGAGCUCAUCUCCUGGCCACGGAGGAAGACGCAGGAAAAGAGUCCUCAGCGUGGGCUGACCUCAGCACGUGUUGGAUGAACCUGUGGCCAGCUGUACCCUGGCAGCUAGAACCCUCCUCCUCACCCUGGACCCACAAGGCCCCAGCUUCAUGGUGGCCCCGUGGGCAUCCUGCCUGCCAUCUGCUGAGCUUCUCUUGGGUCUCCCUCCUGGCAUCCACUGGAUGAGGAAGAUGGACAGCUCAGGUUCCAAGGACACCUUUUCUGGAACUGGCUGCCAGGGAGGGUCUCCAUUCUCGUGGGGUGACCCUCUCACUAGGCUUUGAGGUGUGGUCUGGCCCAGUUCAGUGCUGUGCCCCUGGGCAUCUCCCAGACCUCCAGCAUCCCCUUCCUUGGGCAGGAAGGGGCCAUUUGCCUUUGUCCUUAACAGACCCAGAGCCCCUAGGGGACUCAGCCUCAGAUUGGGAGUGCCCGGGGUGCAGUGUCCAUUUCUUCCCCAGCUCAUACAGCAUCGGCCUCCCCCAGAGAGAGGUGAGCGGGGCAGACCCUGUCCCUGUCUCAUGCCCACAGCUGGUUCUUGCUCACUCUCUUUCUUAGCUCCACAUCCUGCCUGCCAGGACCCUUUCCUAAAGAGAGCUCCUCCGUUGUCCUCGGAGAUCGCCAACGCACAGUCUGCGGCUUUGGGACAGGGAGCUGCCUUAGUCAGCUUGGGCUCCCCUAACCAAACACCCCAGGCCAGGUGGCUCACAGGACAGUCUGGUGACUCUCAGACCUGGCUUUCUCAGGUGCCAGCGCUGGCUUCUGGUGAGGCCCCUGCCUGGCUUGUAGAAGGCCAGCUUCCUGCUGUGUCUGCACACGGAGGGAGAGAGCUACCUCUGCUGUCCUGUUUCUAGAGGGCCACAGUCUAUGGACCAGGCCACCCCAUCCCUUCAUUCAGCCUUACUCACCUCCCAGAGGCCCUGUCUUCAAACACCAUGAUGUUGGGGGUCAGGCUGCAGAGUGGGAAUUUUGGGGGACACAAGUCAGCCCACAGCAGGGGCGUGCAGGCCCUCAGGGAUUGUGGGUUUGGGGGUUUAUUUAGGACCGUGCACUGUUCCAGGAGCUCAGGGUUGCUCAUAGCUCACGCCCUGACCAAGGAGGCGAACAUGUCUGACUGAACAGAGGCCCUGCUGGCCUCCAGGCUGGGUAAAGAGAGACAGGGUCUUAGUGAGGAGGGUCGGGAAGGAUUGCAGCAUACCUUGCCUCAUCUGGAAAGUGAACUUUGAUGGCACAGUGUGGAAACGGGAUGGAACCACCAGAGACCGACUUGUGACUGCCAUGUCAUCGCUGUAGGGACGCCUCGUCCGAGAGGCCGGCGGUGGCUGACGUUCAGAGACCUUCCCAGUUCCAGUGAACGCAGCCUGCUCUCCUCUGUGGCUGGAAGCUUCAUGUGCCCCCAGUGAACACAGAUGAGAGGCCUGGAUGGCCUGUCCUGGCCAUUGCUAAGCUCUCCGCGGUCCCAGGGGACCUGGGCUGGCACUUCUGAGAGGCUGACAGAYGUCAUGGCAUUUCCAGUCUUUGACAUUGUUUACCUGGUCCCACAGCAGAAGCCACCAGCCUUGGACCCGGCCCCCCGCACAGGGCUGUGCCCCCGCCCUGCCCUGACUUGUCCUGUGAUUGCUUUCUGGAAUAGUCUGAGGAGCUCCAGCACUGCACUGCCAUCCACCCCUGACAACAGCACCAGGCCUGCAAUCACGCUUCUGUGGGGUCCUGGUGUCAUCUUCUAUGUCAUGUGUGAACAAAGCAUCUGGUGCCUCAGAGGUACGGCCGAGGCCGUGCCCAGGAUGGUCUGACAGAAAUCACAGAAAUGCAGGGACGCUGGAAUCCGUGGUGGCUGUCUGAUGCUUCCCAAAGGCCCCAGGCAAAACCAUCGGGUCUGGGCCAGGCAGAGCUCAGGCGGGCGCCGUGGGGGACAGCCUCAGUCUCUCAGCUGUUAGCAAGGUAGACCUUACAGCCAAUCUCACAGCCACAGCAUCUUUUAGAUGGAUAAAAUCUUCUCUUUGGUGAAACUGAAUAUUGACAGAAGUUGAAGAACCGGAACUCUCCAGUUAAGGUGGAAGUUGGGGACGAGGCCUGUGUCUCCUCACCUCCGUGCAGGAAGCCCGAGGCACUGCUGGGGAACAUGGUGUGACAGCAGGGACCUGCCCGUCUGUAAGAUCAGCUCAGUGCUCAGCACCCACGGUGGUGCCCUUCAUUGUCCCUUCAUCAGGAGAUCGACCUCUGAUCACAUUUCAUGAUGAAAAAUGGCUCCAUAUUCCAUUGAUCUUGAUGGAUGACAGAAGGCCACGUCUCCAUGCCCCUGACGCGGGUUAGCCCAUUCACUGACGUAACAGCUCAGGCAGUGGAAAGUGGUCAAUAGUACCCCGGCAGGGUGUGCGUUCCAUCUGCAGGAAGGUCUUGUGACCCACGUGCUCUUCCGAGCACGCCCUUGGCACGCCCCCUAGGUCUAGUGGAAUCCAUGUCCCAUCAGUGUUCUACUAGAGACCCUUUACUUCCUACCCCUCGGGAUACCAGAAUAUUUUCCAACACAGCUUCAGAAUUUCCUCCACUUUUUGAAAAAUACCUCUCUGGGAAGUUAUACAGGUGGCAGAGAUGGAGUCCACAGGCUCACACUGCCUCCUUCAGAGCAAGAGUUGGGCAUGCUAUGGCUGACCUGGCCACUCUCGGUUCCCAGGACUUGCUUACCUGGUCCUUUAUUUAAAAUAAAAUAAAAUAAAAUAAAAUUGCCA